CUUCCUUCCUGCUUUUCCUUCCUUCCUUUUUCCUUCUUUCCUCCCUUCCUUUCCCUCCCCACUUCCCUCUCUUAGUAUCCUUACAUGCAUGUUGCUAGCACACACCUCCCUGGGAGGAGGUGUUGCUCUUUUGAGGCCUUGUUUGGGGGGUGGGGGUGGGGAAAGGGUCCUCGCCCUUGACCUGGGAGGGACUGGAAGCCCCUUCCCACCUUCCGAUCCCCUCCCAAGCAACCCAUUCGCUUUGCCCCAGCCACUUGCCUUGGGCUCCCAGGAAGGAAGAAGGCUGCCCUCUUGGCAAGGGAGGUAACCCUGACCACCACCACCCCUUCCUCGCCAUCUGCACCUUCGACGCCUCUCCGGAGGAGCCAGGCAUCGUGCCCAUGCCUCCGGUACCCCUCCCCCCAAGUCAGAAAGUUCUUAGGGAAGACGGCACCUGACAGCUGCUGCCCUGCUUGCCACCUCUUGCCAACUCUACCAGGGACUCCCGGAUCUCUGGGGAAGGAAAGGAUAUCAAAAAAAUUCUUCAGCCUGCCCCCCGCCCCCGCCAAAUGCUCCGGCCCUCUCAUCACCCUGAGGACCAACCAAGGGGUCUGUGAGAGAACAGAGCAAUGGGGGCCUCAGCCUAAGCCCAGCUUCUUCCCCAUCGGAGGCCCCUUUCCCCCAUUCCAGCCCCCGUCCUGACAUUGAAGAAAUAGGAGACUUGAGUUCAGAGGGGUGUUUGAAAUGCCCCUGGGGGAAUAGGGCGAGGGUCAAGAAUCAUGUCUUUCCUCCGAUCGGCCUCCCCUUGGGGGUGUGGGCUCAGCUCCAGGGAUGGCCUAAGCCAAGUUGGAGAAGGGAUAAGCCAGAGAGGAGGUAGGCAGCUUCUCAGCAUCAUCCUUCCCACCCCGUCCUUCUGAACAUGGCUUCAAGUAGUGGGAAAGGAUAUGGAGAACCCAAUCUGGGUCUGGUUAAGCUAACUAAGGAGAUGGGAAAGGGCUGCCUUGCAGGUUUGUGGGAGCAGAAGCAUCCCAUCCUUGGAGGUGGGGGAAUCUCCCUUGAGCUUGAGCUGGGGUGGGGGGAGUUCAGGUGAUUGCUGGGAGAAGGAGGAGGAGGAAGCUUAACAAGCAUGGUGCAGGAACCUGGAACAUUUUAAGACUGACCUAAGAAAUAGACCAACCUAUCCUGAGCCCACUCUACGCGAUAUUGUCUUUUUUUCCACCCCCCAGGUCUGCUUUGGCUCUUGAUACUUUGAGAUGUGCUCCCCCCCCCUUCCCCCCAAAUCUUGUGGCUGUCCAUUGCAAAUGGCCAUGUCUCUUUGGAGGCGUUGGGGGUGCCUUCACCUGUGUACAAAAGCUGCCCGCUCUCUAUCCAGUUCCUGUCUCCUAGCCCAGCUUUCCCAAAUGGGGCCCCCACCCAAACGUGUGGGUUUCAAUUGAAACCCCCCCUGCGCUGCCCUCUCCCGGCCUCUACUGAACAGCCUAAGACAGUGGUGGCGAAGCUUUUCGGUGCGGAGCACCCGUGUGAAAAUAUCAUGUGCGCACCCAUGUGCUCUCCCCGGGGCUGCACUCCAGAAAAGCCGAACUUUCCGGGCUCUUAUGCACAUGCAGCCCCGACAAUCAGCUGGCUGGUGCAAAUGUGCAUGCCGGUUUUCGGCACUGCUGUACAUGCGAAAGGUUUGUGGUCCGGAAAAGCUGAAUUUCUGAGUUCUGGCGUGCAUGCACCCCCAACAAUCAGCUGGCUGGCCUGCAUGCGCACACCAGUUUUCGUCACUGCUGUGUACGUGAGGGACAGCUGAUCGUUGUGCACGCAUACACACCAGAAACCCAGAAGAUAAAGAGGCAAGAGCAUGUGUGCCAGGCGACAUGACUUUAAGUGCCACUUUGGCUACGCAUGCCAUAGGUUAGCCAUCACGAGUUGCUUCCCAGGCUUUGCAGGACAAACCCUGUUUCCCCCACCCCUAUUUGCUCCGCGUGGUGCCCCCUUUGCUCACUGCCUUGGGGGAGGGGGGCUGGAUAGCCUCAGCUCAGAGUCCAGAAUUCAAACGGUAUUAACUGAGACCAGUUGGAAGCGUGUCUGGUUUUGCUAGCUGAUGGGGAAGGGGGGUGUUUGUGUUGGUGAAAGCGGGGAGGAGCAGGUUUCCAAUAUUUACCCAAACUGCCCAGCAGCUAAGAGGACCGGCUCCCCUCUUCACUACUUUGGCUGUGUUGCAAAUCAUGGCCUUAGCCACUGGCUGGGAAAAGCAUUCAGCGUUUUUUUUUUUUUUAAUAUGUAGGCAAAUGAAUUUAUUUAAAAGAAACACUCUCUUCUGUUUCCUUAAAAUACGUAUGUACCUCUGUCGGCUUCUCCUGGUUGCCCCUCUACAGUAACUAAACCAAAUUGGAGGCAGAAGUGCCCCUCUUCUCCCCGCCCCACCCCUCUCUGCUCCCUCUCCCACCAUCCUUUCCCCAUGAGAUCCACCUGUCUGGGCUGCAAUGUACAAUAAUUUAACACAGUUGCCUGUAUUUUUAUUUUGUAAAUUCAUUAUACUAAUAAUUAUAAAUUAACCGCCAGUGGCUUG